ensembl:lncRNA
AUGAACCCUGAUGGAGGAGAAACCAUGAAGGAAUUCCUCUUCCUGGAAGAAGAACAGGCGAACCCUCGAGGUGCAGAGGAGUUGAGAGAGGAAAGGAACCCAUCGCCCGCAUUGAGCGAAGGGGGGACAGACCCCUCGGACCCGUCGUGGAAGCCGCUGACCUCCACCCAGUUACCCGCAGGCAGGGGAGUGACGGUGAGACGGAAGAUCCAGAUGGGAGGCGAUUGGCAGCGAGACGGAGAGGGAGCCCCGGAGAUGAGAAGGAUGGAGAGGAGAUUAGAUGCGAUGGAGAAAAUGUUUGAAACUUUCUCUCGACAGAUGGAUCUGAUGCAGCGGCAGGUAAACGAGUCCUGGAGGGCGACAGUCGAGCAACGGGAGCAGAGGAGAGGGCUGCCCGGGAGAGGCACUGAACCCCGUCCCUUUGCCGGGGAGGGUCCACAGGACUAUGUGGAUGAGAUGCCUCAGCAGGGCACAUCAGUUUUCCCCACGGGCCUGUCGGGAAGGAGCCAAAUGCCUGGGAAGGGAGAAUUUCGGGUGAAGUUCAACGGGGACCCCAAACAGCUGUCUUAUUUCAUUACAAACGUAAGACACUUCAUGGAGGAUUUUGGGGACCAAUUCCCUUCAGAAAGCGCAAAAAUCCACAUGGUGGGGGCAAACUUGAAAGAAGCAGCUGCAGACUGGCUAAUGCAGAUGUAUGAUACUGGUGCCCGGGAGCUAGCCUGUCUGGAGGAUUUCCUAAGAGCCCUCCGUGAGAGAUUCGAAGACCCUUUGGCAGAGGAGAGGGCGAAGGCCCAACUCAAAAGGAUAUACCAGGGAGGAAGGACGGUGUCAGAAUACGCCCUGGAAUUUAAAACCACAGCGGGGAAGAUUAGGGACUGGUCCGACACCACCAAACUGGAAUAUUUCAGGGCUGGUUUACGCUCUGAGGUGCUCGAGUGGGCUUUACACAGAGGAAAUCCAAGAGACUUGGAGGACUGGAUUUUGUUAGCGGGGCGCGUGGAGGUGGACCAACAGCAAAUCUCUCGUCGUCCAAGGGAGAGCAACAGAAUCAAACCCCCGACAGCAGCAACACGGCGCUUCUCCCCUCGUCGCGGAAGGUCGACCAGCAGGGAGAGGAGAGCAGGGAGGGGGGCCUGCUUCGCUUGCGGCCGCGAGGGACAUCGAGCGGCAGAGUGUCCGAAAGGGACAGGCGUGGAGACAAAAGGAGAGAGGCUUCACAGCCAGAAGCCACCCCACCAGAGCUCCAAACUAGCAAAAGGGAAAGCUGCCAUGGCAACGGAAACGGCUUUAGCCCCAGGGCAGCUUCAGGCAGAAGAGAUGGAGGAAGCGGAGGACCUGGAGUUACCGGGAAACGACUGGGAUCUGUUUUGA